GAUGAAGAACGUAGCGAAAUGCGAUAAGUAAUGUGAAUUGCAGAAUUCAGUGAAUCAUCGAAUCUUUGAACGCACAUUGCGCCCGCCAGUAUUCUGGCGGGCAUGCCUGUUCGAGCGUCAUUUCAACCAUCAAGCCCCAGGCUUGUGUUGGGGCCCCGCGGCUGCCGCGGUCCCCUAAAUCCAGUGGCGGGCUCGUCGUCGUACCGAGCGCAGUAGACAUCCUCGCUCCGGGAACCCGACGGGUGCCGGCCGUGAAACCCCCCACAUCAAGGUUGACCUCGGAUCAGGUAGGAAUACCCGCUGAACUUAAGCAUAUCAAUAAGCGGAGGA
rnacentral:misc_RNA from 1 species